GGGAAUGUGGUUCAGUGGUAGAGUGCUUGCUUUGCAUGCAUGAGGCCCUAGGUUCGAUUCCUUAGUACCA
rnacentral:tRNA from 1 species